UACGUAGGUGGCAAGCGUUGUCCGGAUUUACUGGGCGUAAAGGAUGCGUAGGCGGACAUUUAAGUCAGAUGUGAAAUACCCGAGCUUAACUUGGGUGCUGCAUUUGAAACUGGGUGUCUAGAGUGCAGGAGAGGUAAGUGGAAUUCCUAGUGUAGCGGUGGAAUGCGUAGAGAUUAGGAAGAACACCAGUGGCGAAGGCGACUUACUGGACUGUAACUGACGCUGAGGCAUGAAAGCGUGGGGAGCAAACAGG
rnacentral:rRNA from 1 species